rnacentral:rRNA from 1 species
GACGAACGCUGGCGGCGUGCUUAACACAUGCAAGUCGAACGGAAAGGCCCUGCUUUUGUGGGGUGCCCGAGUGGCGAUCGGGUGCGUAACACGUGAGUAACCUACCCUUCACUUUGGGAUAACUUCAGGAAACUGGGGCUAAUACCGGAUAGGAGCUCCUGCUUCAUGGUGGGGGUUGGAAAGUUUCGGCGGUUGGGGAUGGACUGGCGGGUUAUCAGCUUGUUGGUGGGGUAGGGGCUUACCAAGGAUUUGACGGGUAGCCGGCCUGAGAGGGUGACCGGGCUCAUGGGGACUGCGAUACGGCGCAGACUCCUAUGGGAGGCAGCAGUGGGGAAUAUUGCACAAUGGGAGGAAGUCUGAUGCAGAGACGCCGCGUGCGGGAUGACGGCUUGUGGGGUGUAAACCGCUUUCGCCUGUGACGAAGCGUGAGUGACGGUAAUGGGUAAAGAAGCACCGGCUAACUACGUG